ensembl:miRNA
UCAAGUCCAGCCUGAUGUAUGUAGUGAGCUCCGGGCCAGCAGAGCUGCAUAGUGAGAUCUGCCUCCCAAGCAGCAGCAGUAGCAGCAGUAGCAGCAGCAGCAGCAGCAGCAGCAGCAGCAGCAGCAGCAGCAGCAGCAGCAGUAAG